GCCGGGUGUGGUGGCGCAUGCCUGUAGUCCCAGCUACUAGGAAGGCUGAGGCAGGAGAAUCACUUGAACCCGGGAGGCAGAGGUUGCAGUGAGCCAAGAUGGCACCACUGCACUCCAGCCUGGGUGACAGAGUGAGAUUCUGUCUCAA
rnacentral:SRP_RNA from 1 species